AGGGGACCGCAGGAUCCUGGGCUGUGUCCCCCGGCGCCCUGGGAUCCGUGGCCUGCGCCGCUGGAAUUGCACCCCCGGGGCCGGGCUCCCGA
rnacentral:pre_miRNA from 1 species